rnacentral:ribozyme from 13 species
CAAAUCACCCAAUUUACAACACUCAAUUGCCAAAUCAAUAAAAACACCAAAAGAAAUAAGAGAAUUUCUCACUUUUCCAGCUCCUUCUUCUUCUUCUUCCUCUUGAUCUUUCUUUUCUUUUUUCCUCUCUCCUUUUUCUUCUUUUGGGGUUGAAUCGGAUGAUUUUUCUUCUGUUGAUGUGUUGUGUUUUUUGUUUAAACUUGAAGGAGAAAAGAGAGAAGAAGAAGAGAGGGCGUUUGAAGAA